AGAGCAAACCUAAAACCAUAUAAUAGGCCCUCUCCCUUUUCCCAUUCACAGGACUCAGAUAAGAUCUAACACCCAGCUAAAUAUAUUAACACUAACCCCUGCUAAUGAAGCAAGAAAUAAGUUGUGGGGAGGAAUGAUGAACGUAUGUGAUGUGGCCCUAAAAUGUGCAGGAAUAUGAGGAAGAAGCCAGAUGUGGAAGUUAAAGCACAGAAACAUGAAGUUAUUUGUUCCAUGUCAUCCAACAGAGCAGUGGCAGACAAAAAAUAGAAGUGCUCAUUCUGUUGCAUCACUCUGUCUUCCUGUUUUGAUGAAAACAUCUGAAAAGUCAUUUUCAUAGAUCAUGGGUGUCCUACAUGCUGUUCAAGAGACAGCCUGAACAAAACCAGGAGGCACUGUGAGGAACUUGUGCUCUCUGCCUGUGGCUUGGGCCUUGCAACUCAGUGGUAGAUCUGCUUUGUGACUGGAGCAAGUCCCAUAAUU